GGGCUUGACAUCCCACGAACCUGUGGAAACACGGUGUGUCUUCGGACAUGCUGAGACAGGUGGUGCAUGGUUGUCGUCAGCUCGUGUCGUGAGAUGUUGGGUUAAGUCCCGCAACGAGCGCAACCCUUGCCCCGUGUUACUAACAGGUCAAGCUGAGGACUCUCGGGGGACUGCCGGCGUCAAGCUGGAGGAAGGCG
rnacentral:rRNA from 1 species